rnacentral:lncRNA from 1 species
GCGUGAUAUUCUUAUUGACAGAAUUAUAGUUGCAUAUAGAGUGAUUUGGUGUUUUUUAUGGUACUUGAAGCUGGUAACUUGCCUUAAGUGGUGGUUGAUGGCUUAAGUAACAAUUGUAGGAAGUAGCAAAAGUGAGUGUAUUGAGUGUCACAUAUGAAAUAAAUGCUGCAUAUGAUUAGUUCAAAAAACAAUAUAUUUAGGGUGGCUAAGUUAGAGAAUUUAUCUAUUUUAAUUUUG